rnacentral:lncRNA from 1 species
CUUGUACUUGAGGUUGAUUUUUUCAGGGAUAUUGGUAAGUUAUUCCAUAAAAUAGAUCCUGAAUAUAUAAAAGAUUUCUUAUACAGCUCUGUUUUGGCUUUUGGAACUUGUAAAUUUUUGCAAGAGGCAUUUCUCAAACAAUAUUGGUUUAUUUCUGGCAUAUCUUUAAAUUUUUCAGUGAGAUAUACAGGGGCUUCAUUCUUAAGGCAUUUCUGCAUCAAAACAGAUUUGUGGUAUGAGAUUCUGUUCUCUACUGUCAUCCAUCCAAGCUGUUUAAACAGUGGAGCUGAUGAUGAAAGUGGAUCAGCAUCUAAAAUAAGUCUUGCAGCCCUUUUUUGCAAUUUUAUUAUUCUGAUUAGCUCAUGUUUAGCACAACCACUUCAAAUAAUACAACAAUAAUCUAUCAGUGGGAGAAUAUAACCAUUAUAAAAUAAUUUUCUUAGAUCAAUAUUUAGAAAUUUCUUGAUUUUAGAGAGUAAAUAAAGUCUAGAUGAUAUAGAUGAACAUAAGUAAUUAAUAUGGCCUGUCCAGGACAGAUUAGAGUCAAUUCUUACACCUAAAAGUUUUUCAAUUGAUGAUUUUUGAAGAAUAUUAUUCUCAAUAGUCAGAACUGGGUCUGCUUGAUUUAAACGCAGCCUUUGUCUUGUACCUAUAACCAUGCAUUUCGUCUUAUCUGAAUUUAUGAACAUGUUAUUUUCAUGACACCAUUUUUCAACACAUUGGAGAUCAUCUUGUACUUUUAAUUGCAUAUCAGCAAUAGUCUUUCCUGAUGUAUGCAUAGUUGUGUCAUCAGCAUACAAGUCUGUAUGGCAGUUUUUGAUGUGUAAUGGAAGGUCAUUUAUAAACAAAACCAACAAAAUGGGACCAAGUAUUGAGCCCUGUG